rnacentral:rRNA from 1 species
AGUGAACGCUGGCGGUAGGCCUAACACAUGCAAGUCGAACGGCAGCACAGUAAGAGCUUGCUCUUACGGGUGGCGAGUGGCGUAAGGGUGCGGAAUACAUCGGAAUCUACUUUUUCGUGGGGGAUAACGUAGGGAAACUUACGCUAAUACCGCAUACUACCUACGGGUGAAAGCAGGGGAUCUUCGGACCUUGCGCGAUUGAAUGAGCCGAUGUCGGAUUAGCUAGUUGGCGGGGUAAAGGCCCACCAAGGCGACGAUCCGUAGCUGGUCUGAGAGGAUGAUCAGCCACACUGGAACUGAGACACGGCCCAGACUCCUACGGGAGGCAGCAGUGGGGAAUAUUGGACAAUGGGCGCAAGCCUGAUCCAGCCAUACCGCGUGGGUGAAGAAGGCCUUCGGGCUGUAAAGCCCUUUUGUUAGGAAAGAAAAGCAGCAGGUUAAUACCCCGCUGUUCUGACGGUACCUAAAGAAUAAGCACCGGCUAACUUCGUG